rnacentral:rRNA from 1 species
CUUUAAUUUACUGACUUAUGUUUUACAACUACAAACCUAAUGGACUAAAUAAUAAGCUCUAAGUCAGUAAUUUCGGUUGGGGUGACCUCGGAGCAUAAAACAACCUCCGAAAGAUCUAAUAGCCAAGACAGACAAGUCAAAGCAACUAAAAAUCCAAUUGACCCAAUCUACUUUGAUCAACGGACCAAGUUACCCUAGGGAUAACAGCGCAAUCCUAUUCAAGAGUUCAUAUCGACAAUUAGGGUUUACGACCUCGAUGUUGGAUCAGGACAUCCCAAUGGUGCAGCAGCUAUUAAUGGUUCGUUUGUUCAACGAUU